UACGGGGGGGGCAAGCGUUGUUCGGAAUUACUGGGCGUAAAGGGCUCGUAGGCGGCCAACUAAGUCAGACGUGAAAUCCCUCGGCUUAACCGGGGAACUGCGUCUGAUACUGGAUGGCUUGAGGUUGGGAGAGGGAUGCGGAAUUCCAGGUGUAGCGGUGAAAUGCGUAGAUAUCUGGAGGAACACCGGUGGCGAAGGCGGCAUCCUGGACCGAGAUUGACGCUGAUGCGCGAAAGCCAGGGGAGCAAACGGG
rnacentral:rRNA from 1 species